AGAGUUUGAUCCUGGCUCAGGAUGAACGCUGGCGGCGUGCCUAACACAUGUAAGUCGAACGGUGAACCCCGCCUUUGGUGGGGGGAUCAGUGGCGAACCGGUGAGUAACACGUAGGUGACCUGCCCCAAAGAGAAGAAUAACUCUGCGAAAGCGGAGCUAAUACUUCGUGUGGUUAGCUAUUCAUUUAGUUAACUAAAGCUUCGGCGCUUUGGGAGGGGCCUGCGGCCCAUCAGCUAGUUGGUAGGGUAAUGGCUUACCAAGGCGAAGACGGGUAGCUGGUCUGAGAGGACGAUCAGCCACAAUGGCACUGAAAUACUGGCCAUACUCCUACGGGAGGCAGCAGUGAGGAAUAUUGCACAAUUAGCGCAAGCUAGAUGCAGCAACGCCGCGUGGACGAUGAAGGCCUUCGGGUUGUAAAGUCCUUUUGAGAGGGAAGAGGAAGGACGGUACCUCUUGAAAAAGUCACGGCUAACUACGUGCCAGCAGCCGCGGUAACACGUAGGUGGCGAGCGUUAUCCGGAUUUAUUGGGCGUAAAGCGCGCGCAGGUGGUUAGGCAAGUCGGAUGUGAAAGCCUCGGACUUAACCCGGGGAGGUCAUUCGAAACUGCUUGACUUGAGAGCGAGAGAGGGAAGUGGAAUUCCCGGUGUAGUGGUGAAAUGCGUAGAUAUCGGGAGGAACACCAGUGGCGAAGGCGGCUUCCUGGCUCGUUUCUGACACUAAGGCGCGAAAGCGUGGGUAGCGAACGGAAUUAGAGACUCCGGUAGUCCACGCUGUAAACGAUGGGUACUAGGUGUGGGGAGCAUUAACCCUCUCUGUGCCGAAGCUAACGCGUUAAGUACCCCGCCUGAGGACUACGACCGCAAGGUUAAAACUCAAAGGAAUUGACGG
rnacentral:rRNA from 1 species